rnacentral:rRNA from 1 species
UGAAAUUUUAAAGAGCCGCAAUAUUUUAAUUGUGCUAAGGUAGCAAAAUAAUUUGUUUAUUAAUUAUAAACUUGUAUGAAAGAUUUAACAAAUUUAGUUCUUUUUUAAUUUUUUAUAUAAAAAUUAUUGUAAAAGUGCAAAAACUUUUAUAAUUUGAAAAGACGAUAAGACCCUAAGAAUUUUAUUUAUAUUUAAUAUAUAUUUUGAUAUAAUAAAUAAUAUUUAUAUAAAAUUUAGUUGGGGUGACUUUUAAAUAUAUAAAUUUUAAAUUUUUAUUAACUAAAUUAGGUUAAUAGUUUGAAUAUUUAUAUUUCAAGGUAGAAUUACCUUAGGGAUAACAGCGUUAUUUAUAUUAAUAGUUCUUAUAUAAAUAUAAGUUUGCGACCUCGAUGUUGGAUUAAGUUAUUUUUUG